UUACUGGCUUCAUUUAAAGCCACAUAUAUAUAUAAAAAAAGGACCU
rfam:Myotis davidii contig23861, whole genome shotgun sequence.